rnacentral:rRNA from 1 species
CAGUCGAACGGCAGCACGGGUGCUUGCACCUGGUGGCGAGUGGCGAACGGGUGAGUAAUACAUCGGAACGUACCUUAUCGUGGGGGAUAACGCAGCGAAAGCUGUGCUAAUACCGCAUACGCCCUGAGGGGGAAAGCGGGGGAUCGCAAGACCUCGCGCGAUUAGAGCGGCCGAUGCCUGAUUAGCUUGUUGGUGGGGUAAAAGCCCACCAAGGCGACGAUCAGUAGCUGGUCUGAGAGGACGAUCAGCCACACUGGGACUGAGACACGGCCCAGACUCCUACGGGAGGCAGCAGUGGGGAAUUUUGGACAAUGGGGGCAACCCUGAUCCAGCAAUGCCGCGUGAGUGAAGAAGGCCUUCGGGUUGUAAAGCUCUUUUGUCAGGGAAGAAACACCGGCUCUAACACAGUCCGGGAAUGACGGUACCUGAAGAAUAAGCACCGGCUAACUACGUGCCAGCAGCCGCGGUAAUACGUAGGGUGCGAGCGUUAAUCGGAAUUACUGGGCGUAAAGCGUGCGCAGGCGGUUAUACAAGACAGGCGUGAAAUCCCCGGGCUUAACCUGGGAAUGGCGCCUGUGACUGUAUAGCUAGAGUGUGUCAGAGGGGGGUAGAAUUCCACGUGUAGCAGUGAAAUGCGUAGAUAUGUGGAGGAAUACCAAUGGCGAAGGCAGCCCCCUGGGAUAACACUGACGCUCAUGCACGAAAGCGUGGGGAGCAAACAGGAUUAGAUACCCUGGUAGUCCACGCCCUAAACGAUGCUGACUAGUUGUUCGGGAUUUACAUCCUGAGUAACGUAGCUAACGCGUGAAGUCAGCCGCCUGGGGAGUACGGUCGCAAGAUUAAAACUCAAAGGAAUUGACGGG